CGCACAGGGAGGGCCAGGGCGAAGACGGCUACCCGACGACCAAGACACGGCAACGGUGGUGCAGCCUGUGGUCCACAUCGCCGGCAAGAAGAACCACCACGAGGUCGGGUCACGGUGGUGCAGCCUGUGGUCUUCAUAGUCUACCACUCCGCCGUCUUCCGCAACCCCCCCCCUCCCCACUUCCGUGUCAAGAUCAUCACAACAGAAUGAAGGUGCAAUCGCAAUGGAGCUGGAGGUUGAACCGAGGAAUAAUCAUAUUUGUCAUGAAGCUCUUCGUACAACACUGGAUAGUUUAAGGUGCUUAUAAAUGAACACAUGCGAUGCCUAAUAGGAACGUGGCGGAGCACGCCGGCGAGUUCGUCCGCGCCAAUGGGGUCGCCGAUACUAAACAGAAACUUGAAAACAGUGGCAUGCAAUAUUAUCUCAAGAACAGUACAAGCUCCUGAUUUCUAGAGAGCCGAUCAUACCAAUCUUGUUUGAUUUGAUUGGGGAUUAUGAAGGGAUCCAGUUAAAG